CCUACGGGAGGCAGCAGUAAGGAAUAUUGGACAAUGGGCGAAAGCCUGAUCCAGCCAUGCCGCGUGAAGGAUUAAGGUCCUCUGGAUUGUAAACUUCUUUUAUGUGGGACGAAAAAAGGGCAUUCUUGCUCACUUGACGGUACCAUUUGAAUAAGCACCGGCUAACUCCGUGCCAGCAGCCGCGGUAAUACGGAGGGUGCAAGCGUUAUCCGGAUUCACUGGGUUUAAAGGGUGCGUAGGCGGGUAGGUAAGUCAGUGGUGAAAUCUCGAAGCUUAACUUCGAAACUGCCAUUGAUACUAUCUAUCUUGAAUAUUGUGGAGGUUUGCGGAAUAUGUCAUGUAGCGGUGAAAUGCUUAGAUAUGACAUAGAACACCGAUUGCGAAGGCAGCAGGCUACACAUAUAUUGACGCUGAGGCACGAAAGCGUGGGGAUCAAACAGGAUUAGAUACCCUGGUAGUCCACGCCCUAAACGAUGAUUACUCGACAUACGCGAUACACUGUGUGUGUCUGNGNGAGANAUAUAUACNCGNGAGACGCGCGAGAGAGAANANANAGAGUAGAGCGNGAGAGNGCGAGGACGACACGAGGGAGGAG
rnacentral:rRNA from 1 species